rnacentral:rRNA from 1 species
UACGGAGGGACUAGCGUUGUUCGGAAUUACUGGGCGUAAAGCGCACGUAGGCGGCUUGGUAUGUCGGGUGUGAAAUCCCCGGGCUCAACCUGGGAACUGCGUCCGAAUACUGGAUGGCUUGAAUCCGGGAGAGGGAUGCAGAAUUCCAGGUGUAGCGGUGAAAUGCGUAGAGUAUCUGGAGGAAUACCGGUGGCGAAGGCGGCAAUCCUCGGACCGGCAUUGGACGCUGAGGAGCGAAAGCCAGGGGAGCAACGGG